AAUGAACGUUGGCGGCGUGGAUUAGGCACGCAAGUCGAGCGAGAACCCGCAAGGGGGACAGCGGCAAACGGGGUAGGAAUGAUUGGUGACGUACCCUCGGGACGGGGAUAGCCACGGGAAACUGUGGGUAAUACCCGAUAAUCUCCCAGGUUUGAAGACCUGGGUGCAAAGGUGUGAUUCCACCGGAGGAGCGGCCAAUCUGGUAUUAGCUAGUUGGUAGGGUAACGGCCUACCAAGGCUACGAUGCCUAGGGGGUGUGAGAGCAUGGCCCCCACCACUGGGACUGAGAUACUGCCCAGACACCGACGGGUGGCUGCAGUCGAGAAUCUUCGGCAAUGGGCGAAAGCCUGACCGAGCGACGCCGCGUGCGGGAUGAAGGCCUUCGGGUUGUAAACCGCUGUCAGAGGGGAUGAAGUUAUAGGAGGUUCUCCUUCUAUAUUGACAGAACCUCAGAGGAAGCACGGGCUAAGUAUGUGCCAGCCGCCGCAGUAAGAC
rnacentral:rRNA from 1 species